GUCAAAGAGUAGACAUAAUGGUGGAGACUGAAUUGUGUUUCCCAAAAUUCAUAUGUUGAAGCUUAAUCCCUCCUUUGAAUUUCUAGGCACAGCGCAUCAGGCAAGGCAAUAAUGAAAGUGAAAUGACAUACAGGUGGAGUUGGGAUAUGAUAUGACUGAUGUCUUUACAAUGAGAGGGGGAGACAUCGGAGAUCUCAGCUUCAGUGUAUACAGAUAAAAGACCCCCAUGGAAUUAUGGUGAAAAGGAAGCCAGCUGCAAACCAAGGAGAGAGACCUCACCACAGAUAGCCCUGCUGGUUCCCUGACCUCCAGUAUGGUGGAUUUUCUGCUUGAUAUGAAACAUUAAUGGAAUCCAGCAGUCUGCAGCAGCCAGCCCAGUGUCUGGAGUGAGAAGACAUCACAGGUUGGCCAUCAACACUGGAGGUGUUGACCAUCAUUAGUGGAGAUGAAAAUCUAGAAGGUUUUCCCUGAGGGUUUUGUAAUAUCCAUAUUAAAUAUGAAAGAAGAAAGAGUACAAAAAGGGAGAUUUUCUAAGUAAGAGAAAAUAAACACAGAGUCCAAGAAUUCACAAUGGGACUUUUAUGAAGAGAAAUCUUAAUCAGUGUGGAAAGACAAG
ensembl:lncRNA